UAUGCAUGAACAUUUUGGGCUGGACAGUCAUGGUAGCUAUUGGUGUAAAUGCAGCUAUAAGUGUGAGAGUAUCAAAUGAGCUAGGCGCAGCUCAUCCAAGAACAGCAAAAUUUUCACUUGUGGUGGCUGUUAUAUCAUCUUUUAUGAUUGGUGUCGUUCUCUCUCUCAUUCUCAUCCUUACAAGAACUAAGUAUCCAUCUUUGUUUUCCUCGGAUUCUCAAGUCAAAGAACUUGUCAAUGAGCUUACACCUCUGCUUGCUC
rnacentral:misc_RNA from 1 species